rnacentral:rRNA from 1 species
AACGAACGCUGGCGGCAUGCCUAACACAUGCAAGUCGAACGAGACCUUCGGGUCUAGUGGCGCACGGGUGCGUAACGCGUGGGAACCUGCCCUUAGGUUCGGAAUAACUCCCCGAAAGGGGUGCUAAUACCGGAUAAUGUCUUCGGACCAAAGAUUUAUCGCCUUUGGAUGGGCCCGCGUUGGAUUAGCUAGUUGGUAGGGUAAAAGCCUACCAAGGCGACGAUCCAUAGCUGGUCUGAGAGGAUGAUCAGCCACACUGGGACUGAGACACGGCCCAGACUCCUACGGGGGGAGGCAGGGGGAAAUAUGGAAAAAGGGGGGAAGGCCUGACCAAGCAUGGCCGGGGGAGUGAUGAGGCCCUGGGGGUUGAAAAGCUUUUUUACCCGGGAGAAUAAGGACAGGCCGGGAAAAAUAGACCCCGGCAAACCCCGUG